rnacentral:rRNA from 1 species
CUCCGGGUGAUCCUGCCGGACCUGACUGCUAUCGGAUUGGUACUAAGCCAUGCGAGUCGUUGUAGCAAUACAAGGCGGACGGCUCAGUAACACGUAGUCAACCUAACCUAUGGACGUGGAUAACCUCGGGAAACUGAGAAUAAACCGCGAUAGAUCAUUAUGCCUGGAAUGGCUUAUGGUUCAAACAAUUUAUUGCCGUAGGAUGGGACUGCGGCCUAUCAGCUUGUUGGUGAGGUAAUGGCCCACCAAGGCUAUAACAGGUACGGGCUCUGAGAGGAGAAGCCCGGAGAUGGGUACUGAGACACGGACCCAGGCCCUAUGGGGCGCAGCAGGCGAGAAACCUUAGCAAUGUGCGAAAGCACGACUAGGUUAAUCCGAGUGAUUUCUGUUGAAGAAAUCUUUUGUCAGUCAUAAAACCACAGACGAAUAAGGGGUGGGCAAGUCUGGUGUCAGCCGCCGCGGUAAUACCAGCACCUCGAGUGGUCAGGAGGUUUAUUGGGCCUAAAGCAUCCGUAGCCGGCUACGCAAGUCUCCGGUUAAAUCCAGCUGCUCAACAGAUGGGCUGCCGGAGAUACUACAUAGCUAGGGAGCGGGAGAGGCAGACGGUAUUCUGUGGGUAGGGGUAAAAUCCUUUGAUCCAUAGAGGACCACCAGUGGCGAAGGCGGUCUGCCAGAACGCGUUCGACGGUGAGGGAUGAAAGCUGGGGGAGCAAACCGGAUUAGAUACCCGGGUAGUCCCAGCUGUAAACGAUGCAAACUCGGUGAUGCAUUGGCUUAUGGCCAAUGCAGUGCCGCAGGGAAGCCGUUAAGUUUGCCGCCUGGGAAGUACGGACGCAAGUCUGAAACUUAAAGGAAUUGGCGGGGGAGCA